rnacentral:rRNA from 1 species
UAAAACCAGCACCUCAAGUGGUCAGGAUGAUUAUUGGGCCUAAAGCAUCCGUAGCUCGUUUUGUAAGUUUUCGGUUAAAUCCAUACGCUUAACGUAUGGGCUGCCGGGAAUACUGCAUAACUAGGAAGUGGGAGAGGUAGACGGUACUCGGUAGGAAGGGGUAAAAUCCUUUGAUCUAUUGAUGACCACCUGUGGCGAAGGCGG